UACGGAGGGGGUUAGCGUUGUUCGGAAUUACUGGGCGUAAAGCGUACGUAGGCGGAUUAGUCAGUCAGAGGUGAAAUCCCAGGGCUCAACCCUGGAACUGCCUUUGAUACUGCUAGUCUUGAGUUCGAGAGAGGUAAGUGGAAUUCCGAGUGUAGAGGUGAAAUUCGUAGAUAUUCGGAGGAACACCAGUGGCGAAGGCGGCUUACUGGCUCGAUACUGACGCUGAGGUACGAAAGUGUGGGGAGCAAACAGG
rnacentral:rRNA from 1 species